AUACGGAGGAUGCGAGCGUUAUCCGGAUUUAUUGGGUUUAAAGGGUGCGUAGGCUGUGCGUUAAGUCAGGGGUGAAAUGCCGUCGCUCAACGACGGAGCUGCCCUUGAUACUGGCGUGCUGGAGUACGGAUGCCGUUGGAGGAAUGAGUGGUGUAGCGGUGAAAUGCUUAGAUAUCACUCAGAACACCGAUUGCGAAGGCAUCUGACAAACCCGUCACUGACGCUGAGGCACGAAAGCGUGGGGAUAGAACAGGAUUAGAUUCCCUGGUAUUCCACGCCGUAAACGAUGAUGACUAACCGUCGGCGAUAGACAGCCGGUGGCCAAGCGAAAGCGAUAAGUCAUCCACCUGGGGAGUACGUCGGCAACGAUGAAACUCAAAUGAAUUGACGGGG
rnacentral:rRNA from 1 species